CAAAAAUGCCUAAAAAAUAAAAAAAAAAUUAAACCGAUUUUUUCUAGUUUUUCCCUUCAAUUAACCGAACCGAAACGGGUCGGUUUGAACUGAUUUUGGUAUUUUUUUAAAAAAAAUUGAUCGUCAUAACUGCAUCUACGGUUUGAUUACUUCUGUAGCAUAACCAUAUUUUGAACAACAUGUUUGUCAGCUUUGUUCAAGGUGUCAGCAUUAGCGAUGGCUUCAAGUCGUGGUAGUAUAAGCUUGACAACAACAUCAACAUCCAUUUCUUCAAAAACCCAAUUUGUUAUUGCUCUGAAAACCAACCCUUUUGUCUUAGAUUCUUGUUGUACUGCACAAAAGAAGCUCCUUUUCUGUUCGAGCCAUGGGUUCUUCUGCUUCUUCUUCCCAGAAACCUGACAACAUUCAAGGAGCACCAUUUUCAGCUGCAGACAGAUUAGUUCCAGUAUCCUCAUAGGACUUGAGCUUCUCAAAGAAUGGCGAUUGGAAGGUGGAACAGUGGACUAAUAGAUAUCAUCAUCGUUCAUUUAUGGUGGAGCUGAGAACUGUGGAAUCUGCAGAUGAUUAGUGGCUUGAGCACCAUAAGCAAAAAUCAGAAUAAUCAUCUGCCUAUAUCAUUUUAAUAUGUAACUGUGUUGUGAUAUCAAGAAAUACAACAAAAUGAAUUCAAAUCA